rnacentral:lncRNA from 1 species
GAGAACUGCUUUUGAGCAAUAAAUCAACCAGUGAGGUAGACUCUUGUGGUAUCACCUUUCAACAUGGUCAAGCUAUGGAAACGUGAUUUUAAUUUCUCAGGUUUUUUGUUUGUUUGUUUGUUUUUGUUUUUGUCUUUAAUCUGCCAGAUGGAGACCAUGCCAUUGCUAGUCUACCUUGAAAGACAGAUGCGAAGAAUCAAGUCAGGGGCUUUGCAGGAAGGCGAUAUAUCCCACCUCAUGAAAUCAGCCUUCACCACAAGAUUGCUUUGACCAAUGGGAUGUGAGUAGAAGUUUGAAGAACCACAGACUGGUCCAUCACCUUGUUUCUUAUCCCUCUGACAUAAGCAAUGUCCCAGAUUGGGGCUGUUCCGUUAGCCUGGCUUCCAGAAUGAAGAGAGCUGAUCUACAUGGCAUAUGUAACAUAGAUAAACCUUUGUUAUUACAAACCACAGAAA